UAGGGAUGAAAUAAGGAAGGAAGGAAGGAUACAUUUAUCUGUUGGAACAUGGUCACAGUCUCCGGGCGUACGUACGAGCGACAGUGGGCGCGCGCACAAAUACACACAUCCCAGACAACACGCACUAAACCUCUGUCCAAACUUUCCUCCCCUUCAGUCUGUGCGUGACUCGCCAAGUCGUGAGAGCGCAAGAAGAACUUUCCGCUCUCUAGCACGGCUUAAAUUCGCGUUUUAAUUCCGCUACCAAGGUUAGUAAAUAUCUUCUCUACACUGCACUCUAUAUUGACGAAAAGUCAUUGUAUUUAUCUAUUUGUUUUGUUAUUUUUAGAUUAGCCUGCUGUUUUAUGUGAGUGUGCUUUUCACUCGAGGCUUGUUCAGCAAUCGGCGACCCCGCCUACCUCAUCAGCUCUCUUUUGUUCUUUCUCCGUCCAAUUUCAUCUCCCGAACACAAGGUCCGCUCAUUCCCCGUUUAUUAAUGUUAAUUUGUUGUAUGAUUAUGCGCAGCUGUGGAGGUCUCAGUGCGGUGUUCGGGUUACUUUGGUGAUGGGUGAGUUUAGAGGUGCUGUCUGUGUAAACGAUGUCGGACUGGGACCCAUUUUUGUGCUGCCUAGUAAACAGCAGCUGGAGGAAGGUGUGGUUUGGGUGGUAAUUAGCUUAAUGAGAUUACCCUAAUCAAAGUUAUUGAUGACCAAUGUUUCUUAACUUAAGUGGCUUUUGUGCAUGUUCAGUUUGACGAAUAUUUAACGAUUUAAACCCCAAAUCUUACUGCGCGCAUUACUUGAGACAAUCAAUUUCACUGUUUGCGCAUUUGUUUUGUACUUUUAUUUGGAGCGUAACACAAGUGUGUGUGAAUCGAUUGUUUCUUCGUAGUGCAUAGUUUGACUCCAACGCGUCUUCGAGGAUUGUUUUAAAUCGUCGCAUGCACCGGCGGUGCCCAUGGACAUGUAGCCUACAUACCACGCACGUGCGCUUGUAGCUCGGGGGACGGACCGGACACUAUACGCUCCAUAGAGCGGACACGUGAUCCUGCACGGGAUGGAACAUAAUGUUCCAAUGCAUCGAGGUCAAUAGUGCCUCUUAACCUGUGUAGCACAACUUGGUGCACCAUGGGAAACAAGAUCAGCAGAAGACGGGACACUGCACCAGCCGAGCAGAAGGCUGCAGAGGAGGCAAUCGACACGCAGGAAGCUGUGGUGGAGGCAGUAGCUGAUGCGCCAGUGGUGGUUGCAGAGGUGACUGAACCAGUAGUAGAAUCAGUGCCAGCACCGGUACAGGAGGCUGAGCCAGAGCCCCCCAAGCAGCCAGAGACUGCACCCUCAUUGGAGGAGCCGGUGAGCGUCCCACUAGUAGCCCCAGCACCACCUGAACCCGAGCCCCUGGUGUCAGUCAGCAAACCAGUGCCAGUCGCCCCGGAGCCAAAGCCAGUCGCCCCGGAGCCAAAGCCAGUCGCCCGGAGCCAAAGCCAGUCGCCCGGAGCCAAAGCCAGUCGCCCGGAGCCAAAGCCAGUCGCCCCGGCGCCAAAGCCAGUCGCCCCGGAGCCAAAGCCAGUCGUCAUAGAACAGGAGGCUGUCCCAGAGCCAAACCUCUCCCAGGAGUUCCUCCUACAGCCAGUCAUUCCAGAGACCCUCCCCUCCCCCACCCCUCUUCUGGACCUGGGUGUCCCUGAGCUGACCCCUGAGCCCCUCGAUGCUCCCCCCUCCCACAGAUCUGCCCCAGACCAGCCCACAGACCUGGGGGGUGCAGAAUGCUAUGACGACAACGUAAAGGGUGCCUGGAAUUCUGUCUCCGUCCCAGAAGAGUCCAAAGAAACCCCGGAGAAGCCAGCAACCAUGGCGGAGAAGCUUCUGUGUGAUGUCAUGGGCAGCGAGCUGAGCAAAGCGGAUUCUUCAACCACUUAGCCCUGACGGCCGAUGACAUCAUGGUCAAUGAUGUCAUAGCAGACGACAUUUCGGAAGGUGACGUGUCCACUGAGCUGAUAUGGGAGAAGAAAAUAAAAAUAAGAACUAGAAGAAAAAAAUGGACAAUGACGUUCUAAAAAAGGCAGACGCAAGCAGAAAAAAAAUGUAUAAAAAAAGAAUACAACUUUGAUCUGAGAAGGCUAAAGGGAAAACUAAGACCGUGAAGUAGCACUCAGAUAAUCUGAGACCUGGGAUGUAUUCCCUAGGAACCAAGUGUACGCAAACAGAAUUAAACUGGGUGGGACCUACAUGAAUUUGUCCAAUAGAAAUUCUAGUUUCUGUUGCGAAACAUUUUGGAAUAAUGAUUAGACCCCAGGUAAUAGACGUGCCUUUCUUUCUGAGUGUAGGUUGACUAAAGGGAUUUGGUGAUGGGUGGCCAGGGCAGAAGUGUACCCAUCAUCGCCCUCUGAGCCAUAUAGACAUAACACUGCAUAGCAGAACACUUACAGUAACUAUAUGUGGUAACUAUGUAUGACAAGACGUUUGCCUUGGUGUGUACACCUGAUGAAUUGUAACAACGUUUGAAAUUGGCCUACAUACUAUGAUGUACAUUCAUGCUUGGACUCUCACAAUCCUUCCUCUUUAACUCUGAAACGGAGGUGACCUUAUUAUAUUUCCUUGGAGGAAUGUAUUAAAGGUGAUGGUCUGGUUGUGAAAAUAAAAUAAGAUUGUUCCACCUUGAA
ensembl:lncRNA